rnacentral:tRNA from 1 species
CGGGGAUUGGCGCAGUCUGGUUAGCGCAUCUGGUUUGGGACCAGAGGGUCGCAAGUUCGAAUCUUGCAUCCCCGACCA